ensembl:lncRNA
UGUGUGUGUGUGUGUGUGUGUGUGUGUGUGUGUGUGUGUGUGUGUGUGUGUGUGUGUGUGUGUGUGUGUGUGUGUGUGUGUGUGUGACCAGUACGACCAUACAUCAUCUAGGCUGACAGUCAAAGGCGCUAGCUUGCCCAACUUGGGGGAUCCGUUAAGCUACUCAAAUCAAAUCAAAGUUUAUUUUUCACACGCGGAAUACAACAGGUGUAGACCUUACAGUGAAAUACUUACUUACAGACUCUAACCAAUAGUGCAAAAAAGGUAUUAGGUGAACAAUAGGUAAGUAAAGAAAUAAAAACAACAGUAAAAAGACACUGAAAAAUAACAGUAGAGAGGCUAUAUACAGUAGAGAGGCUUUAUACAGUAGUGAGGCUAUAUACAGUAGUGAGGCUAUGUACAGUAGAGAGGCUCUAUACAGUAGAGAGGCUAUAUACAGUAGAGAGGCUCUAUACAGUAGAGAGGCUAUAUACAGUAGAGAGGCUAUAUACAGUAGAGAGGCUAUAUACAGUAGAGAGGCUAUAUACAGUAGAGAGGCUAUGUACAGUAGAGAGGCUAUAUACAGUAGAGAGGCUUUAUACAGUAGUGAGGCUAUAUACAGUAGAGAGGCUAUAUACAGUAGAGAGGCUCUAUACAGUAGAGAGGCUAUAUACAGUAGAGAGGCUAUAUACAGUAGUGAGGCUAUAUACAGUAGAGAGGCUCUAUACAGUAGACAGGCUAUAUACAGUAGAGAGGCUAUAUACAGUAGAGAGGCUAUAUACAGUAGCGAGGCUAUAUACAGUAGAGAGGCUAUAUACAGACACCGGUUAAUCGGGCUGAUUGAGGUUGUUUGUACAUUUAGAUAUGGUUAAAGUGACAAUGCAUAUAUGAUGAACAGAGAGUAGCAGUAGCGUAUGACUGGUGUGGCUGGGUCUUUGACAAUUUUUAGGGCCAUCCUCUGACACCGUCUGGUCAGGAUGCUCUCGAUGUUGCAGCUGUAGAACCUUUUGAGGAUCUCAGGACCCAUGCCAAAUGUUUUUAGUUUCCUGAGGGGGAAUAGGCUUUGUCGUGCCCUCUUCACGACUGUCUUGGUGUGUUUGGACCGUUCUAGUUUGUUGGUGAUGUGGACGCCAAGGAAGUUGAAGCUCUCAACCUGCUCCACUCCAGCCCAGUCGAUGAAAAUGGGGGCGUGCUCGGUCCUCUUUUUCCUGUCGUCCACAAUCAUCUCCUUAGUCUUGGCUACUUUGAGGUAUAGGUCGUUAUUCUGGCACCACCCGGCCAGAUGAUGGUGUUGGAGUCGUGCCUGGGCAUGCAGUCGACGGUGAACAGGGAGUACAGGAGGGGACUGAGCACGCACCCCUGGGGGGCUCCAGUGCUGAGGAUCAGCGUGGCAGAUGUGUUGCUAUCUACCCUCAUCACCUGGGGGUGGCCUGUCAGGAAGUCCAGGAUCCAGUUGCAGAGAGAGGUGUUUAGUACCUGGAUCCUUAACUUAGUGAUGAGCUUUGAGGGCACUAUGGUGUUGAACGCUGAACUGCAGUCAAUGAAUAGCAUUCUCACAUAGGUGUUCCUUUUGUUCAGGUGGGAAAGGGCUGUAUGGAGUGCAAUAGAGAUUGCAUCAUCUGUGGAUCUGUUUGGGCGGUAUGAAAAUUGGAGUGUGUCUAGGGUUUCUAGGAUAAUAGUGUUGAUGUGAGCCAUUACCAGCCUUUCAAAGCACUUCAUGGCUACGGACGUGAGUGCUACGGGUCUGUGUUCAUUUAGGCAGGUUGCCUUUGUGUUCUUGGGCACAGGGACUAUGGUGGUCUGCUUGAAACAUGUUUGUAUUACAGUCUCAAUCAGGGACAUGUUGAAAAUGUCAGUGAAGACCCCUGCCAGUUGGUCAGCACAUGCCAGGAGCACACGUCCUGGUAAUCCGUAUGGCCCCGCAGCCUUGUGAAUGUUAACGUGUUUAAAGGACUUACUCACAUCGGCUACGGAGAGCGUGAUCACACAGUCGUCGGGAACAUGCAUGCCUCAGUGUUGCUUGCCUCGAAGUGAGCAUAGAAGUGAUUUAGCUCGUCUGGUAGUGUUGUGUUACUGGGCAGCCCACGGCUGUGCUUCCCUUUGUAGUCUGUAAUAGUUUGCAAGCCCUGCCACAUAAGACGAGCGUCGGAGCCGGUGUAGUAUGAUUCAAUCUUAGCCCUGUAUUGACGCUUUGCCUGUUUGAUGGUUCGUCGCAGGGCAUAGCAGGAUUUCUUAUAAGCUUCCGGGUUAGAGUCCUGCACCUUGAAAGCGGCAGCUCUACCCUUUAGCUUAGUGCGAAUGUUGCCUAUGAUCCUAGGCUUCUGGUUGUGGUAUGAACGUACAGUCACUGUGGGGACGACGUCCUCGAUUCACUUAUUGAUAAAGCCAGUGACUGAUGUGGUGUACUCCUCAAUGCCAUCGGAAGAAUCCCGGAACAUAUUACAGUCUGUGAUAGCAAAACAGUCUUGUAGUUUAGCAUCUGAUUCAUCUGACCACUUUUUUAUAGACCGAGUCACUGGUGCUUCCUGCUUUAAUUUUUGCUUGUAAGCAGGAAUCAGGAAGAUAGAGUUGUGGUCGGAAGUAUGUCAGGCGUGACUUCCUGACUGUUAUCCAGAAACACACACAGUAAGCCAAGACAAAUGCUGAUCGACAGCUGACUGUGUUAAAUCAGUUUCACUGACAGUUUCAUUC